rnacentral:ncRNA from 1 species
CACCUGGUUGAUCCUGCCAGUAGUCAUAUGCUUGUCUCAAAGAUUAAGCCAUGCAUGUCUAAGUAUAAGCUUUAAACGGCGAAACUGCGAAUGGCUCAUUAAAACAGUUAUAGUUUAUUUGGUGAUCGAUUACUAUUUGGAUAACCGUAGUAAUUCUAGAGCUAAUACAUGCGUCAAGGCCCGACUUCGGAAGGGCUGCGUUUAUUAGAUACAGAACCAACCUAGGCUCCGCCUAGUCCUUGUUGGUGAUUCAUAAUAACCCGGCGAAUCGCACGGCUUGUCCGGCGAUGGACCAUUCAAGUUUCUGACCUAUCAGCUAUGGACGGUAGGGUAUUGGCCUACCGUGGCGUUGACGGGUAACGGGGAAUUAGGGUUCGAUUCCGGAGAGGGAGCCUGAGAAACGGCUACCACAUCUAAGGAAGGCAGCAGGCGCGCAAAUUACCCAAUCCUGAUACAGGGAGGUAGUGACAAGAAAUAACAAUACAGGGCAAUUCUGUCUUGUAAUUGGAAUGAGUAGAUUUUAAAUCUCUUUACGAGUAUCAAUUGGAGGGCAAGUCUGGUGCCAGCAGCCGCGGUAAUUCCAGCUCCAAUAGCGUAUAUUAAAGUUGUUGCGGUAAAAAGCUCGUAGUGGAUUUCUGCCUUGGGCGACCGAUCACUUUCUACGGGAUGGUUGGUAUCAAGGUUUGACCUUGGCUUUUUCUUGGGAUUCGUGC